rnacentral:rRNA from 1 species
GACGAACGCUGGCGGCGUGCUUAACACAUGCAAGUCGAGCGGAAAGGCCACUUCGGUGGUACUCGAGCGGCGAACGGGUGAGUAACACGUGAGUAAUCUGCCCUUGGCUUUGGGAUAGCCACCGGAAACGGUGAUUAAUACCGGAUAUGACCAUGUCACGCAUGUGGUGUGGUGGAAAGUUUUUCGGCCAGGGAUGUGCUCGCGGCCUAUCAGCUUGAUGGUGAGGUAAUGGCUCACCAUGGCUUCGACGGGUAGCCGGCCUGAGAGGGUGACCGGUCACACUGGGACUGAGACACGGCCCAGACUCCUACGGGAGGCAGCAGUGGGGAAUAUUGGACAAUGGGCGGAAGCCUGAUCCAGCAACGCCGCGUGAGGGAUGACGGCCUUCGGGUUGUAAACCUCUUUCAGCAGGGACGAAGCGUGAGUGACGGUACCUGCAGAAGAAGCACCGGCCAACUACGUGCCAGCCGCCGCCGUAAGAC